rnacentral:rRNA from 1 species
GAUGAACGCUAGCGGCAGGCUUAACACAUGCAAGUCGAGGGGUAGGAUAGCUUGCUAUCUGAGACCGGCAAACGGGUGAGUAACGCGUAUGCAAUCUGCCUUGUACAGAGGGAUAGCCCAGAGAAAUUUGGAUUAAUACCUCAUAGUAUUAUAGAACAGCAUUGUUUUAUAAUUAAAGAUUUAUCGGUACAAGAUGAGCAUGCGUCCCAUUAGUUAGUUGGUGUGGUAACGGCACACCAAGACUAUGAUGGGUAGGGGUCCUGAGAGGGAGAUCCCCCACACUGGUACUGAGACACGGACCAGACUCCUACGGGAGGCAGCAGUGAGGAAUAUUGGACAAUGGGCGCAAGCCUGAUCCAGCCAUGCCGCGUGCAGGAAGAAGGUUCUAUGGAUCGUAAACUGCUUUUAUACGGGAAGAAAACAACUACGUGUAGUUGACUGACUGUACUGUAAGAAUAAGGAUCGGCUAACUCCGUGCC